GCCUCUGUAGCGCAAUGGAUAGCUUGUUGGACGUGUAAUCCAAAGGUCAUGGGUUCAAAUCCCACCUGAGAUG